rnacentral:sRNA from 1 species
UAGCUGAAGUUCUGCAAUCGUUGUGUGC